rnacentral:misc_RNA from 1 species
AGAUUUCUAGCUCCAAAUCCCUGUCCUUCCGCCAUUACUAUAUAAACCCAUCUGUACGCCCUCUGGAUAACCAGAAAUCAGUCUUCUACAUUAGCUUUUUUCACCAUCAAUCUCAGAAACCCAAAAAUCCGCGAACGCUUGUUUUUUUGAUUCACCUGAAUUUGAGAAAUGGAUGGCGAUUUUGAGUUCCCAACUGCUGCGAAUGAGGAGGUUGAUAACAUGGACAUUAUCAAGGUUGGUGAAGAGAAAGAGAUUGGCAAGAAUGGACUUAAGAAGAAGCUCGUCAAAGAGGGUGAAGGAUGGGAGACUCCCAGUUCUGGUGAUGAAGUUGAAGUGCACUACACUGGGACUUUGCUUGACGGAACCCAGUUCGAUUCAAGUCGUGAAAGAGGGACACCAUUCAAGUUCAAACUUGGUCGAGGUCAAGUAAUCAAGGGGUGGGAUGAGGGCAUCAAGACUAUGAAGAAGGGUGAGAAUGCCAUUUUCACAAUACCUCCAGAAUUGGCAUAUGGUGAGGCUGGAUCUCCUCCAACUAUUCCUCCUAGAGCAACUCUUCAAUUCGAUGUGGAGUUGCUGUCUUGGACGAGCGUUAAAGACAUCUGUAAAGACGGGGGAAUUGUCAAGAAAGUACUUGUGGAAGGCGAGAAAUGGGACAAUCCCAAAGACCUUGAUGAAGUACUCGUUAAGUAUGAAGCUCGGCUUGAAGACGGAACGGUUAUCUCAAAGUCUGAUGGUGUUGAGUUCACUGUAGGAGAUGGCUAUUUCUGUCCUGCCUUGGCAAAAGCUGUGAAAACAAUGAAAAAGGGAGAGAAAGUCCUAUUGACAGUGAAGCCACAAUAUGGAUUUGGAGAGAAUGGCAGGCAGGCACUUAGUGAUGAAGGUGUUGUUCCUCCAAAUGCAACUCUUGAGAUCAUGCUUGAGUUAGUUUCUUGG